CUGGAUGCUGCUUCAAUCUGUCUGACCUCAUGUUCUUCAUUCAGCUCUCCAGUUCCUCCCUCUGUGAUGUAGAGAUCUGUGUAGAUCUCAUUCAGAAGGAUUGAGUUUCCUGCUUUGGUGAUUCCCUCAGUUAAACACUGGAACUUCUUUUUCAGACCAGAUUUGAGUUUAUGCUGACAAACUGCAAAAAAUCCUGAUUGAAGACAAUAAAGAAAGAAGUUCUCUGUGAUCUUCAUCAGUGACUCUCUGCUGCUCCUCUGCCCUUCAUCUUCAUCCUUCAGAUCCUCCUCAUCUGUCUUCUGAUUCAGAAGCUUCUGGAUCUUCUUCAGCUCUUUCUUCACAAAAGUGACAAUGUUUUCCUCCAGCAGCUGCAACAGAAUUCUAGAUGAAUGAGCCAAUCAGAGUGAAGUCAUGGAACCAAACAUCAGCUCCAUGUUGGACACACUGACAAUCCACUGGUCUACAAAGUGCAGCAUGGAGAUGAAUGUGAACAUAAUGAAGAAGAAGUAGUUCUUGUUCAUGUACAGACCAGAAAGAUGGAGUCCAGCUGUUUUUGAUGCUGCUGGACAGACGGACCAUUUGGAGUCUCUGAGCUCUGCUGGUCCACUCUGUGGAGAAUUAUCAGCAAUCAACUCCAUUCUGUCUGUGCUGGAAGGUUUCAAACCACACUAACUGGAGUCUGGUCAGUUCACCGAGUCACAGCUGGAAAACUUGUUAUACAUAUAAGUCAGUCUUUUUUCAUUCCAGUGUACUUUUUUCUUCGGUCUGAUUGUGUGUUUUUUCCUUUUUCCUUCCUUUUUUCCUUCCUUUUUCCGCUCUAUCCUUUAGCUUCAACCCCAGUAAGCCCCCUUGCUGUUUUUCCAUUCCCUGUGUGAUUUUUAUUGUCUUUUUGUUUGAAAUAAAAAUACUUUUAAAGAUUUGUUUGUUCUACAUGUUUGUUUUGUUUUCUGUCUUUUGUCUAGCUCAGUGUUUUUCAACCUUUUUUGAGGCACGGCACACUUUAAACCUUGACAGAAAUCCAGCGGCACACCAGCAUCCA